UGGGGAAUAUUGGACAAUGGGCGAAAGCCUGAUCCAGCAAUGCCGCGUGAGUGAUGAAGGCCUUAGGGUUGUAAAGCUCUUUUACCAGGGAUGAUAAUGACAGUACCUGGAGAAUAAGCUCCGGCUAACUCCGUGCCAGCAGCCGCGGUAAUACGGAGGGAGCCAACGUUGUUCGGAACUACUGGGCGUAAAGAGAACGUAGGCGGGGAGUCAAGUCAGAGGGGAAAGCCGGGAGCGCAAACACAGAAC
rnacentral:rRNA from 1 species